ensembl:lncRNA
AUAAAUUGAGCUUAAAUGCUAAAACAGUCAGUUAACAGACACAAUACAGCUCACUCCUCCUUGAGACACUUCUGUGCUGUUUGAUGCCUGCUGUUAUGCACUCUGCAGGAACAAUAAUUGAUCUACUUCUCUGAGGACAGACAGACGUACAGACAAACCCUGUUCUAACCGAAGCCCAUGCUGUCAGUCAAACGUGCCUCAUCUCUAUUCAUUAAAGAUUUCGAUUUCUUGGCAGGAAAUAUGGUACACCCCAGGACGGAGCCAACAGCUAGCCACUGGAUUCCUGGAGGAAAGGCUGCGGAAGGUCAGGAAGCGGCUGAGAUCAACCAGCAAGUAGUGGAGCAUGGCACAGACGACACCAGCACAAAUGCCAGAUGAUGGCGCUCUUGCAAGGGCUCUCAUACCAGGUAAUUAUUAAACGGAAAAAUUAUUUGAUGAAGCAAAACAUCCAUAUUACAGUGACUGACAACUUUGUUGUUCUUUUUUACAGAAUGUACCAUAUCAGACGAACGUGCGUCACAGUUUAAAGAAUGGUUGAGAAACAAUUCUCAGCCCCUCAGCCAGAUAGAGACCUACAUACAGAACACGGCAGUCUACAGGGCCAAGUGGAUUAGGGACAACAAUUGGACCAUCGAUCAGAUCCUCGAAGAGUUCCCUCACUUAAUGACCAAAGGCAUGCUUGCACAGGACUUUCUUGUCCUACAUGGGGAUGCUGCAUCAAAGUUGUUUGAAACUUGGCUACCCAUUUAUGUUGAGAAGAUCCUGUACCUGGCAAGACAGGAGAGGAAGCUGAUAUUGCCCCUGGAUAGAUUAACACCAGGUAAUAUAUUCUUGUCAGCAGAUCUUGUAAAUGCAGGGAAUGCGAUGGAAUAUGCAGGAUAUUUAUGCAAUUUUAUGCGAUGAAAUUGCAGGGAUUGUGAAAUCACAGGUAUGCCAUUUCACAUCGUAUUGACACGUAUGUCUUCCUACAGAUGGUGUUGGGGAACUCGCCCUGAGGCAGUUGCCAGCCUUGCUUCCACCUACAACUUAGAAAGGUGGCCGUGGCCGCAGCGUGAAAAGUAGGAAUGCGGCUUGGCCUUCAUCGACCAUAAGCCUGUAAGUCCUCAAGCACAUCUAAAGGGGAAACUUUAUUUAUUUUAUCAACAUAUCUGAGCUCAAGACUGUGCACGCACACAUGCAUAUCCAGAUUUGUUUUACUAUACUUUUAGGGACAGGCAUCAAAUAUAGGCUGACAGUAUUAGCUGUUCUACAAGCUUGCAACUCGUCGGUCACUAUCAAAGCAUCCUAGAACACCUCAUUACUGCCACAGGCUGAUUACCUCUGUACCACACCACACUGAUGCACUAAUUUGUUCUAAAACAUGCACCAACAAAGUAUUGAGUGCAGAAAUUAACAUAUUUAUCAGAAGGUUGACACUUUUGUAUUUUAACCCAUUUGGACCUGACUCCAUGAGGUUGACUCUAAAGAAGUCUUCUAAAUCUACAAAGCAUUUGCAGCCCACCUAUCUGACCACCUAACCCUGCGACCUAUCGGCCAGAUAGGAUAGUCAGAUAGGUGGGCUGCACGCAUUUUCUGAGCAUGUUUAUUGUAAUGUUAGAUCAUCAAUCAAUUUAUGGCUUUUUAGGUCAAUUGAGCUUUGAAUCCUUUUUUCAAUUGUUUUCUGUAAUGUGAGCUAUAUGCUCUAAUACUUAGUCAAAAAAGGUUUAU